CCGAGUUUCUUUCGCUCCUUUCAUUCCCCUGAGAAGCCUCUCCUUCGACGCGAUAACUCACACGGUCGCAACAUUCUACCCAACCCGUCUUUUUCGUUAAAGCUCUGCUGCCACGCACAACUCUUGCCAACCUUUGCUGCCAUGCAUGACUCCGGCCAACCUCUGCCACUACGCGUCGUCUACCUCUGUCACCGUCUCAGGUCUCCGCCGCUCUCUCUGCCACCAGUCUCUCUGCCACCCACGACCUACCUUUCGUUCAACCUCUGUCGCCGUUUAUAGGUCUCUGACGUUUCAAUGUCAGUCUAGACGAAGCAUACGAGGCUCAAUCGAUCCCAACAUGAAGUUUAGGCUUCGGUUAAAAUUGGCUUCACGUUGGACUCUCCAACUUUUUAUAUUGUCUGCGAGGUAAACCAUAUUUUCAUCUCCAUUGAAAGUUCAAAUAAUGUAAUUUCAGUAGUCUCUUGCCCACAAAGUAGGACCAUUUCGACGUUUUUUUGGAGGUAUUUGAUGAACUGCUUAGGCUAAAAAUAGGCAUUCAAAUGGACAAGGACGAUGGCCUAUUAAAUCUGCAAAUUUUAUUCUAGAUCUUCUUAAGAAUGCAGGGAAUAAUGUGAAAGUGAAAGGACUGGAUGUUGAUUCUCUCAUCGCAUCCCACAUUCAGGUGAACCAAGCUCAAAAGGUGAAUGAGAUGGUGUCUUACUGGAGGAAAAAAGAACCAACGAUGACAGUAGCUCAUAUCUAUAUGUUAAUAUAAUUUUGCACACUUGUUGAAUUUUGUUUGUAUUUUAAGGGUUAACUUGUGCUGUUGAUACAUUCACUAAAUACUUUACGUAGCUACCUUUAUACCAUUUAGACCACAACUUUAUUUAAGUAAAUUAUUGAAUUCUUUA